UUUGUAGAGGAUGCUUCGGGUGCGGCCCCUGUCUAAGUGCUCUGGAACGGGCCAUCGGAGAGGGUGAGAAUCCCGUCUGGGACGGGGUGUCCGUGUCCGUGUGAAGCUCCUUCGACGAGUCGAGUUGUUUGGGAAUGCAGCUCUAAAUGGGUGGUAAAUUUCAUCUAAAGCUAAAUACAGGCCGGAGACCGAUAGCGCACAAGUAGAGUGAUCGAAAGAUGAAAAGCACUUUGAAAAGAGAGUUAAACAGCACGUGAAAUUGUUGAAAGGGAAGCACUUGCAACCAGACUCGCCCACGGGGUUCAGCCGGCUUUCGGGCCGGUGUACUUCCCCGGGGGCGGGGCAGCGUCGGUUUGGGCGGCCGGUUAAAGGCCCCCGGAAUGUAACACCCCUCGGGGUGUCUUAUAGCCGGGGGUGCCAUGCGGCCAGCCCAGACCGAGGAACGCGCUUCGGCACGGACGCUGGCAUAAUGGUUGCAAAUGACCCGUCUUGAAACACGGACCAAGGAGUCUAACAUCUACGCGAGUGUUCGGGUGGCAAACCCGUGCGCGAAGUGAAAGCGAACGGAGGUGGGAGCCCCCUCGAGGGGCGCACCAUCGACCGAUCCUG
rnacentral:rRNA from 1 species